rnacentral:misc_RNA from 1 species
UAAAUUAAAUUAAAUUAAAUUAAACUAGCCUCAUAAUUGAAAUCUCACUAAAGCAAAUAUAAGGUGAUAUGGAGGCAGAGUGCAUUGUACUAUGCAGUUAUGCCACCAAAGGAAAUUGCAUUUCAGUUGAGAAACAGCAAAUAGCAAAACAGAGUAAACACUAUAUGCAUGUAAAAGAAAUCAUCUCAAUAAAAAAUUUGUAGAAAAAUAAAUUUCAUAGAACUCCCCUUCUAGUUUCAAAUAGUGUCAGUCAGUCUGCCAAUGUACAGUAGCAUAACCCAAAGCUCCAUCUGUCUGUGCAUACGUAGCUACUCAUCUAAUUUAUUUAUUUUUUCCCCUUCCUUCUAAACUAGAUUAAAGGUCCUCUGUAAUUUCAUCAAGGCAUAGAGAAUAUUAGUCAUGGUUAAUCAUUAACCCCUUUUAGAAAGGUUACAGAAGGCAUCGUACACAUAUAGCAAUUAAGUUCCACAAGUGCACACAAAAAUGGGAAAACUGACAUAUUAGAAUAAGCAGUGUGAAUAACACAUCUAACAUGUAAAUUUCAUUCCCUUUCCUUUUUCUCCCUUUUCCCUCGAAUGACUAAGCACCAAAAUAUAUUCAAGCCUUUCACAAAGCCAAAGAUCAAGAAUUAAAUAUCUGUUGGUAAUAAAAUAUUUUUUCACAUGAAUAUCAAAGUCCAGAGAUACACAUACAUGCUGUGAGUUGUAACAAUCCACCAUGCCAUUUCCAGAUGUGACUUUUUAUAUGAAUCACCAAAAUCAAUAAUGCACUUGAUAUUGUAAUAUCAUCCACUAGGACAAUUGCAGCCAUUUCCAGCCACAUAUAACAGAUAAAGACACAUAAAAAAAAGCACCCCAACAACACCCAAGUUAUGCAUAUAAGAAAAUCUAUGACUAUUGAAAAUCAAAUAGAUCAUGAAGAUAUAACCAUCUCCAAUGUGGUCACUCUGAUUCUUAAGUCAUAACACUUUCAUGUCGCCUGUGUGAGAAUAAACAACAUAACUAACGCCCAAAGAUGAUGCAAUUUCCAACAGACUUAGGCCACAUUAACAAUUAACACAAAUAAAACAAGCAAGAAUUCACGGAUUAUAAGAGUUGAAAAUUACCAUGUGUAUAACAAAAUGCUCAUCCAAACCCUCCCUUGGAAGACAUCUAGCUUUCACAGAUGAGACAACGUAAUCCCUUCCAGGGGGACUCAAAACAUUAGAUGGCAAUCUUAUCCUAUAGAACUCAUCGCCAAUAAGCAGUUUCUCAAAAUUCCCCUUUUCCGCUUGUGUAAACGCAUUUCUCGAAAACCUCAGCUUCGUGAGUGUCUGGCCGCCAUGACUCCAAGUUUUGAGGCGAGCAGAGAAGGUGCCGGCGGGAACAAAAUCCGAGUCACCGAAUGCGUGUUCGAGGGAAAAUUGGAUCUUAGAAUCCGAAUCGGAAUCCGAAAACUUCCGUCGGGUAGUAGUGGUAGGAGUUGGGGAUGAUCUGAUGUAUGCAGGAUCAGAGGAGCGUUGGUGACGCUGAGGAGGCGCUCCUUCGAGGCCGAAUUCUUCAUCAUCUACAAGAAGCUCAUCUGAUUGGAAAGCGUGAAAAGAUGAAGUUAAGAGAAAAACAGAGAACAUGAAACUGAGAAAUCGCGUCUUCAUCUUCACUGUGUGUGGUUUCCGAGUUCAGCGAGAGAGAGCUUUGGAGCUGGUUUUGAC